rnacentral:rRNA from 1 species
GACGAACGCUGGCGGCGUGCUUAACACAUGCAAGUCGAACGGUGAAAGCGGAGCUUGCUCCGCUGGAUCAGUGGCGAACGGGUGAGUAACACGUGGGCAACCUGCCCCUCACUUCGGGAUAACUCCGGGAAACCGGGGCUAAUACCGGAUAUGACCUCCUUGGGCAUCCUUGGAGGUGGAAAGUUUUUCGGUGAGGGAUGGGCCCGCGGCCUAUCAGCUUGUUGGUGAGGUAGUGGCUCACCAAGGCGACGACGGGUAGCCGGCCUGAGAGGGCGACCGGCCACACGGGGACUGAGACACGGCCCAGACUCCUACGGGAGGCAGCAGUGGGGAAUAUUGUGCAAUGGGCGAAAGCCUGACGCAGCAACGCCGCGUGCGGGAUGACGGCCUUCGGGUUGUAAACCGCUUUCAGCAGGGAAGAAGCCGCAAGGUGACGGUACCUGCAGAAGAAGCACCGGCUAACCACGUGCCAGCAGCCGCCGCAG